rnacentral:rRNA from 1 species
GACGAACCGAGCGAACGUUGUUCGGAAUCACUGGGCUUAAAGGGCGCGUAGGCGGCUUGCCAAGUCGGGGGUGAAAUACUUCAGCUUAACUGGAGAAGUGCCUUCGAUACUGGCGGGCUUGAGGGAGGUAGGGGUCUUUGGAACUUCUGGUGGAGCGGUGAAAUGCGUUGAUAUCAAGAGGAACACCUGAGGUGAAGACGGGUUGCUGGGCUGACACUGACGCUGAGGCGCGAAAGCCAGGGGAGCAAACGGG